CAUGGAGGGACGACAAUGGGGCACUUGGUCUGCGAGGAUCCACCACCAGAUCCACCGCUGCUGCAACAGACUGCUCCGCCACUGCCGCUGCUGCAGCACACAGCUCCGCCACUGCCACUGCUGCAGCAGACAGCUCCGCCACUGCCACCACCACUGCUUCCACCAGGUACAACAAUGGUUUUCCCACUGCCGCCACAUCCUCCACUGGAUCCUCCUCCAAUCACCUUAACCCCACCCGAGCUCCCACCACCGGAUGAGCUACAACAAACAGCACCACCACCGCCACUGCCGCCAGAUGAGCUGCAACAUACUGCACCACCACUGCCACCGCUAGCUCCACAGCAAACCCCUCCAGAUCCUCCACCAACAACUACGGGGAUCUUUUGCUGGCCACCUCCAUAUCCACCACCCAUUCCACCUCCAACACAACACCCAGAAGACUGGCCACUGCCACCGGAUGAUCCACAGCACACUGCGCUGCCGCUACUGGCUCCACAGCAAACCCCUCCAGAUCCUCCGCCAACAACCAUUGGGAUCUUUUGCUGGCCGCCUCCAUAUCCACCUCCAUAUCCACCUCCGCUUGGUAUAAUGAUGACUCCGCCAGACUGUCCGCCAUAUCCUCCUCUGCCGCAGCCUCCGCCACCACCUCCAGAGCAGCAGCAGCAGCCGCCCCCUGAACCGCCGCAGCAGCAACAGCCACCCCCGCUUUGUUUUUGCUGGCUCAUCUUUUGGCUUUUGUGUGGUGCGUUAGACCUGGAAAGUGGACAAAGCAUAGUUAAUGCACACUGCUGGCUGCAAUGCUCAUUUCUCAAAAGGCCUCAUUCUCAUGGUGGUCAAUUUGUGUUCAGGAUGCAGCACCAGAGAGUACAGGUGGUGAUGUGUUGGAUCACAUGGUUGAAUGCAUGCAUGCGUACAUAAAUACACACACAAACACACCACCUUACUCCAUAUUUUCAUCCGAGGAAUGCUGGAGGGUAGGCCAUUUGGGUAAUGGUCACAAAGAGACGCAGGUGGAACAAGGAGCCUGACCCAGGUGAAAACAGGAAGCGGGGGGAAGAAGGCCAUAAGCUGAAACUCAACAUGUGAAGAGACACUGGCCCCUACUGGGAUUCAGCCAAGCAGCAGACCCCACCACCUGCACUCGCACUGAACCUCAGCCCCAGCUCUGCCGCUAUCCCUCUAUCCCGCUAACCCCAACUAACCAUAAAAGGCUGUUUAUUUCCUAGUGUACCGUUCUUUCCCAGGGCCAUUUUUCAAGCAGACCAUUUCCCCUCCCUCAUUCACAGAUUCCAUGCCUUGCCCCAGGAUCCAAAUUAUUUUCCCCACCUCUUCUCAGGUUACUUGGCAGUUUCCCCUACAUGAAAGUCACUGUUGAAACAAAGGAUUCUUAUCACAGAGGAUCCUUCCAUUAGGUGAUCCUUGCCUUGUGCUUUGAAUUGGUGCCACCCAGUGACCAAUUGACCACCUCUGGUAUCCCUAGCUUUAACUCUCUUGUUUUCUGUACUUUCUGUACUUUCUGUACUUUCUGUACUUUCUGUACUUUCUGUACUUUCUGUACUUUCUGUCUUCCACAGUACUACCUGGUUGGUUGCCAGCUAGCAAGCCAAACCAUAUUUCUGGUGUAGAUAUUGGAGGCCAGAUAAUGUGAAUGACAUGGCUGGCCCUGCAAACUGGGCAUGGAUGUAUAAGGCCUCUUCUGGGAACAAUUCCUCAGUGAACCUUUCUCUGACAGAUUUAUCCCUUGAUAAUCAUAAAGGAUUAAAUUGUCUCUUGGAACAGGUUUAGGUAAGGAUGCAAUCUCUGGCUUAGCUGCAGCUAUCAUUCAAGCAUUGCUGUUGGGGAGGACACACCAAUUCAUUUGCUGUGAUCUCAGCUGCUCAGGUGCCAUCACCCACCCCCAAAUACAACAAUCUUCUGCAUGUUUGUGGAUACAGUAGCUACACUGCAUGCCUGUAUUUCACCUCCAAACCUUAGCAGCAAAUACCGUAUUUUUUGCACCAUAACACUCACUUUUUUCCUCCUAGAAAGUAAGGGGAAAUGUAUGUGCGUGUUAUGGAGGGAAUGCCUACGGGUGGCGGUGGGGAUCUGCUGCAGUCGUGAGCAGAGGAUCUAUGGUUCCCCUUCCUUCCCUCUUCUGAGGCUUGCUUUGAAACAGCAAAGCGGGAGAAGAGCCGCUGAGUGGGGAGGAGAGAGGGACAGAGAGCUUGCUUCUUUAAAGGAGCAAAGCGGGAGAGGAGAGGAGGCGCUUACACGAGUGUAAGCAGCUCCUGUCCGGUUGGUUCCUUUAAAGCAAGCAGGCUCUCUGUCCCUCUCUCCUCCCCACUCAGCUCACUACAUAGCAGCAAAGUUUUUCAGCUCGCUAAGCUGGGGAUGAGCGGGGAGGAGGAAGAAAAGCAGAGCCUGCUUGCUUUAAAGGAGCAAAGUGGGAGAGGAAAGGAGCCUUCUCCCCUUAAACCCCUCUCCUGCAUUAUUAGCAGCAUCCUUCUCCACACACCCCAUGCGUAUUCCUUCUCCCCUUAAACCCCUCUCCUGCAUUAUUAGCAGCAUCCUUCUCCACCCACCCCACGCGUGCUCCUUGUCCCUUGAGUGCUUUUCCUUCCCUCCCCACUUAAAACGUGGUUACAAAGCACAGAUCCACAUGGAUCCUCAGGAUUUUUGCAUUGGGUCACCCCAAAUUCACCAUCAGAUCACAUGUCUGUGGCCACAGCAUGAACCACAAAAAUCAUACAUCCACUGUUUCCUUUAGAAUAUUUUUUUUCUUGUUUUCCUCCUCUAAAAACUACGUGCGUGUUAUGGUCAGGUGCGUGUUAUAGAGCGAAAAAUACGGUACAUAUACAGUGGUACCUCGGAUUACAUACGCUUCAGGUUACAGACUCCGCUAACCCAGAAAUACUACUUCGGGUUAAGAAAUUUGCUUCAGGAUGAGAACAGAAAUCAUGCUUCGGUGGCGCGGCGGCAGCGGGAGGCCCCAUUAGCUAAAGUGGUGCUUCAGGUUAAGAACAGUUUCAGGUUAAGAACGGACCUCCGGAACGAAUUAAAUUCUUAACCCGAGGUACCACUGUACCCAGAAACAAAUCUGGGCUCCUUUGUGCCCUAGGUAUGGAGCUGUAUUGGCGCCCUCAUGAAAAGAAAAAAACCAUGUUGUCAUCAUAAAUGACUCUCAAAUGGGACAUUUAACAGAACAAGCCUAUAAAUGACUACUCAAAGGCAAAGCCCACAGAGUUCAAUGGGGCUUACUCCCAGGAAACUGGGUGCACAGGACUGCAGCCUAAAUCUGGCAAGCCAGAGACAGAACUUCUGGCCAUAUUUCAACUGCCUCUUUGUUACCUUUGACAAGGUGCCAGCAGAAAGGCACUAAAUUUGAGAUUCCACACUUUUGUCAGAAGAAAGUCCCACUUAAUUCUACGGUCCCUAUUUCCCUGGCAAACUUGCAGCGGUGUGAGUGUACUGGAAAUUGGCCAAAGCGGGAAAGAAACAAGGGAAAGCGACUCGGCUAUAGUAAAUUAAGAGGCUCUCCCGACAUUUCUCAGCCAGGACAUCAACUGAAAGGCUGCUCUCAAUGCAAGUAGGGAGAGUGGAGUGUGGGAAAAGCAGGCAUUCUAGGAUGUAUGGCCCUGUAAUGGAAAGCCACACUGCGCAAGCUAACCACCAGCUUUGCCAGCCAGCUGGGGAAGGGACUCCACAGGGCUCCUGUGAUGGCCCGUGCAGGCAGCCAGAUUCGUCCUCCGAAGUGCCAACGGAGGCAAAAUUUUGUGCACCCACAGUCUGGGCCCUGGGUGGGGGCAACCUAGCCAGCCACUAGGUAUUUCCCUGCCUGGACUAGAGAACAGAAGAAGAACUCUCAACAGAUUCUCCUGUUCCUCAUUUAAAUCUGGAAGGAUGACCCUCUCCCUCCAUUGAUUGUAAGGAAAUCUAUACUGUAUCAAGAAUCCAAAUCAACCCUUUGCACCACGAUCCUACAAAAUGAAUAGCAUAUUGGUCUAAGCUGCAGAUGGUUCCGUGCAUUAAAGAGAAGGAAGAUUAUCAAGGAUCUAAGCCUUGAACUUACCUCGUUGGACAAAUGUGGCAGAAUGCAGGAAACGUCGCAAUGGAUUCGAGUGAUGAGCUUGCAAACCAGAGCUCCUCUUUAUACCCAUUUUCUGGCCGCUCCUAUGGGAAGUGAGGCACCCCAGGAAUGGUGAGUGACACAGCUAGAAUCUCCCUUAACAACCGGCCUCAUCAAUCCCAAGAUGUCAGACACGUCAUAGGAGAUCCAUAUCUCUCUUUUGUAUCACUCGCUAUUUUUAUGGGACGUAAACAGCUUAAUGAAGGUGCUACACCUAAUGAGUAAGUUCCUGCUUUGUAGCGGUGCCUCACAUAUUUGUGGGGGCUCUUGAUGGGUGACAUAUGCAAGGACUGGUUUUCUUUACGAGAGAGGGUAGCUUCUAACAGGUUUAGGCAAAUCAGGAAAAUUAGACAAAUUACCAACAUGGUUUUUUCCCCCUCACCGGAACUCAGUUCCUGCACCUCUUAGGUGGGUGCCAAGCUAUUCUAAGAGAACGAGGGUGGUGUUCGUGGCGAGUUCCAGCACCUCUUUUUUACAGAAAAAAAAAAGCACUGGUUAUUACAGUGGUACCUUGGGUUACAUACGCUUCAGGUUACAUACGCUUCAGGUUACAGACUCCGCUAACCCAGAAAUAGCGCUUCAGGUUAAGAACUUUGCUUCAGGCUGAGAACAGAAAUUGGGCUCCGGCGGCGCGGCAGCAGCAGGAGGCCCCAUUAGCUAAAGUGGUACCUCAGGUUAAGAAUAGUUUCAGGUUAAGUACAGACCUCUGGAAACAAUUAAGUACUUAACCCGAGGUACCACUGUACUGCACUUAUUUUUCCAUAAGUUAAGAGACAGCAGUAGUGUGAUAUUUAGAAUGUUGGACUAGGACCUGGGAAACCACGGUUCAUAUCUUCACCCAACUCUGAAGCUCAGUAAAUGUGGCCUUGGGCCAGUCACCACCUCGCAGCCUAGGCUACCUCACAGGGCUGUUGAGGGGAUGGAAUGAGGAGGGUGAGGAGCUUGUAGGCCACCCUGAGCUCCUUAGAGAAAAAGGAGAUAUAUAGAUGCAACCAACUAAUCAAUCAAAUCUCUUCCCUGCCAUUUCUAUGCUAAUCUGCAUUAAGAAAGGAAAAAGAAAAAGUAGAUUUGCUGUUAAACACAUUAGGUUGUACCCUAUUAGAUUCUGCUUAGAUUAAACCUGUUGAAAACAGAGGGCAUAAAUUUAGUCAUUAAUAUCGGUUGGUAUACUCUGAAUAUGACUAACAUUGGAUUCUCUGAAGCAAAGGAUAUGUUCACACAUUUCACAGAGCGCAAGUGCCAGCUGCUUCUACACGCGUACACUUGUGUGAAAGAGUGUACACUUGUUAAUUUGUAUGGCUCAACAACUGUGUACACAGAUAAAUUGCCUGUGCACUAAUUAAAUGUUGCAUAUAUGUGUGCAGACCAACUGUUUGUGUGCGUGGUUACACAGAUUGUGCGGACAACCCUAAUGUCCUCAGAAAGACAUAGCAGGUCAAGCUACUUCUAAUAUAGUAUGAAUCUGAAGUGGGAUAAUAUGAAAUGGACACAUACAGUUUAAUUGGGUAUUUUUAGAACUGUGCCAGACCCGGUUAUGACUUGAAGCCUGAUUGAGCCUCCAGUGGCCCCAGUCUGAACCAGGAUGAUCUGGGGCUGACCAGAUCCAGAUCCCAAAGCUGAACCAAACUGGCAGGGGGGUCUUACACAGUUUUAAUUAGGGUUUGACUCCCUAAUUAAGCAUGUGAAGGUGGUGACACAGCCUGUUUCUUAGUCUCUGACUCUCCUGCUGUUUAACAGUCCUAAAUCACUCCAGCUGGACAUGAUCUGACCCAGGCUGAUUUGUGGUUUCCUCAACAUUCUCUGGCUGAAUCUCAACUUGAUCUAAACCGGUCCAAUUCAGUUCGAGAUCUGGGAUCACAGCCACGCAUUAAGGCUUUUGAAUAACAGUUGCUCGAAAUCACAGGAGGGGAGAGCGCUGUUGCACUCAUGUCAAUCUUCCACAAAACAAAAAGAGAACGUGGUAAGAGGAUAGGACAUUGAGUUUUUGCUUACAUAAUUCACAUUGUCAUCGAAAAUAUAUGUAUUGUGCUCAUUGCAUGUCCCCCAAGCAUAUUUUCCAAAGAUUAAUGAGAUACGUAGAAAGUUAAUUUGGGAUAAUGGUCCACUUCCUUUUGAUUUGAGAGAACGCAGCUGCCAAUAACAGAAGGAGGUUAUUCCAGAAAUUGCUUUAUAUUUUAUUAGUUUAGCCAGUGUGGUGUGGUGGUUGGAGUGUUGGAAUAGGACCUGAGAGACCAGGGUUCAAGUCCCCACUCAGUCAUCAAGCUCAUCACUCGAAGGAUUGUUGUGAUCAUAAAAUGGGGAUGGGGAGAACUACAUACAACCUUGAGCUCUUGGGAGGAGAAGUGGGAUGUAAAAGCUAUACAUAAAUAAAUGGAAUAAAAAAUAUCCCACAAAGCAUAUAGAAAUGAUUGGCAAAUGCUUACUUUUAUUGGGUAACUUUAGAGAUGGCUUACUUAACCCCCCCUCUUUGGUCCUUUGUUGGACCUUCACCACUUUCAAUUUUAGCAACUAGAGAGAUUUCGCAUAUCUCAAUAGCUACCAUUUGAGCCACAUACACUAAAUUAAUCCAGAUUUGUAAUUCUGGAUUUGUAAUCCAGAAAAUGUAAUCCAGAUUUGAAGAGAGAGACAACCUUUAUGUGGAAGAAAUGGGCUGAAUAUGAGAUGCCUACAUUAGAUCUGCUGUUUAGAUGCAUUUUUUUUGUCAUUUCCUGAUUUGCAGGAAUGACUGGCAAGUGCAAAAUAUAAAUACAGUGGUACCUUGGUUUAAGAACAGCUUAGUUUAUGAACAACUUGGUUUAAGAACGCUGCAAACUCGGAAGUAGAUGUUUUGGUUUGUGAACUUUGCUUUGGAAUAAGAACAUGUUUCACUUCCUGUUGAGUGUGUUCCCUUUGUAAAUUGAGUCCCCUGCUGCUAUGGGAAAGCACGCCUUGGUUGAAGAGCGCUUUGGUUGAAGAACGGACUUCCGGAACGGAAUAACUUCGUAAACCAAGGUACCACUGUAUCUCCAAUUACCAAUGUUUGCUGGGGUUUAUUUAUGGACCGUCUGCUUCAAGCAUUUCACCACCUCCUACAUUAUGGAGGGAAUUAUUGGAUCCUUACAGAAAGCUAAAUCUACAGUUUUAAAUGCUUUAUGAGUCUUUUAAAGGUUUGUGUUCAGGAAAGAAAGGUGUGGAAUAGGGAAUUAUAAUGUGUCACACAGCCUAAACAAUGGAAAGUUGCUUUGGAAUCUAAAGAAUAUGAAAUAUUUCCUAAGACUUGAGACGGAGUUUGAUGCAGCAAAAUUUAACAUUAUGAGCAUAUUAGACUCAAAAAUGUUUGUAUAGAAAUCCACUGUCCAAAACAGAUAAAUGUUGGAGGUAUUGACUUGUUGAGGAAUAUGAUGUGGGGCUUGUUCACUGAUAUAUUCUUCUUUGUACUAAUACUGUUGCCUAAAUCAAUUUUGUAUUGGUGAAAUCCAUAGCGUUUGCAGGUGCUCAUGUUCUUGUAAAUGAUAUUCUUCUAGUAAUGGCAGGACAACAAAAAGAAACAAAGAGAUUUAUACUUUGAGUAUAAAUUCCUUUCCCAGAUCUACAAUCCCAGAGUUUCCUGUGAAGAAAGAAGAAUUGUUAAAUCACUCUGGAAUCUGUAGCUCUGGGAGGGGAACUGAGUCUCCUAACAAUUAUUAGCACCAUUAAUAAACUACAGUUCCCAGAAUUAUUGGAGGGGAGAGCCAUGACUGUCUAAAGUGAUAUCAUGCUACUUUAGACAAAUGGUGUCAAUGUGGUCUAAGUCUCAGAGGUGGUGGCUCUCAAAUCUUUUGCAGAUUUUGGGAUGCGGGUGGUGCUGUGGAUUAAACCACAGAGCCUAGGACUUGCCGAUCAGAAGGUCGCGAUUCAAAUCUCUGCGACGGGGUGAGCUCCCGUUGCUCGGUCCCUGCUCCUGCCAACCUAGCAGUUCGAAAGCACGUCAAAGUGCAAGUAGAUAAAUAGGUACCGCUCCGGCGGGAAUGUAAACGGCGUUUCCAUGUACUGCUCUGGUUCGCCAGAAGUGGCUUAGUCAUGCUGGCCACAUGACCUGGAAGCUGUAUGCUUGCUCCCUCGGCCUGUAAAGCGAGAUGAGUGCUGCAACCCCAGAGUUGGUCACGACUGGACCUAAUGGUCAGGGGUCCCUUUACGUUUUUAAGGCUGCUGAUGCCCACCUCUUGUCUGUGGAUAGUACCAUUGCCACCAUACCAAAGAAGACGUGAGACAAGACAAAGUCCCCACUCCUGAGCCAACUACCAGCUGUAUUCUAUGACCAUGCAGUGAGGCUCAAGGAAAAUCUCCCCCAUCCCCGUGUGCUCCUUCAGUGCACGAACUUGACAGGUGCACCAUGGCCCUGUUGGUCAACAUUCACCCCAAUGUGCCUGCCAGGAUGCUUUUCAGCAGCUAAAUAAUGGCUUCCUCGUCCCUUGAAUUGCCUUGGAAAUUUAUGUCUCAAAAUGUUGCUUUUCUUGAAUGUGCAUAUCAGUUCUCAUCCCAGAUCUCAGCUUGUCUCACUGCACAGUGAGUGCUUUCAAUUACUUCUGUCCCUCAGUAAUGCAUCUAGUAAAAGCCACAAGUGGAGGACAACCCACAAUGGAACUUGAAUAAUGACCUACAUAUGUGUCUUGCCCACAUAUAGGCACAGAGAACAAGGGCACAAAACAACAGUGCAUGCAUUGAAAUAUGGGCCACAAAUUUAUGAGCCUGAUGUGCUGCAUUCUUGACUAGUUCAAAGCAAUAUUUCUAAACUCAGGGCAGGUAUGCUUACUCCCAGGGAGUAAGACAAUCAAAAGAAUCACAGGAAUCGCUGGAAUAAUUUUCCUCCAAGGAUCAUAGAAAGCUGCUUUAUAAAGUCGGGUCACUGGUCCACCUAUCUCAGUAUUGUUUCACAGAUCAGCAGCAUCUCCCUAUGGUUUCAGGUGUGGGGCAUUCCCACACCUAAAGCAGAUAUACCAUAAAACAGUGGUGGCCAAUGUUAUGUCUGCCAGAUGUCCGUAGACUGCAGCUCCUACCAUCUUGACUGAUGACCAUCGUGGCUGGGGGCUGAUGAGAUUUGUAACUCCUGCCAUACGGGGUUUGUUUGCGUAAGCCGUGUUUUUACACUCUGAUGUACUCUGGCGUUAGCCAUGGUCUUCCUGGGACUCUCCUUCAGUUGACACUAAACCUUCUUGAGCCAGCAUGUUGGACUGUGAAGUGGGAGAUCUGUGUUGUAAUUCCCAUUCAGUCAUGACGCUCACUGAGUGACCUUGAGUCAAUCAUCCUCUUUCAUGGCUACUAGCAAUGAUGGCCAAGGUCCUCUUCCAUGGUUGGAGGAAACAAUGCUUCUGAAGAACAGCUGCUGGAAACUUCAGGAGGGCAGUGUGUUCGUUUGUUCAGAUCCUGAUUGCCAGUUCCUGAUGGGGCAUCUGGUUGGCUAAUAUGAGAAGAUGUUGGACUUGAUGGGCCUUUGGCCUGAUCCACUAGGUGGCUGUUGUUGUUACAUUUCAUACUUGUCUUUCAUGUCACAAGGCAGGUUACAACAAUUUAAAGGCAACAUUAAUAUUUAAACAUAAUAUUACAUAAAUUUUAAAAACCCAGUUCAAAACAAUUUAAAAUUGAAAAAAAAUAAGGUGAGUCUUGAAAAUAUACAGAUGUUCAGCCUACAACAUAAUAUCAUUGAAUGAAGACAGCGAAAGGGUGGGGAGAUCUGACUUGGCAGACAAGUGGGAUAAUAAUAGUGAACUCCCUUUUUUAGUGCAUGUUUGUGUGUUAAUGACUUUCCCUUCCGUCAUAUCAUCAACACAGAUCAAAGUAGCAGAUAGACUGGAAACAACAUAUCUCCUCAAGAAUCUUGGAAUUGACCUACCUCAGGAAUGGCAGUAAAGAGAGGCAAGUGAAGUUGAACACACUUAACUUUCUGAUGGAGGUUGUGGGAUACAAACAGGAGCAAAAGAUCUCACAAACACCUGAUGCAUAACCACAGAGGAGAGCACUAAAGCACACCAAGCAGAUUCCUACAUCCUACACCUUCUAGAUAUUACUGAAACGCUUCACUUGUGACUUUUACCAACCUCAAGGAGAACAGUAUUCUGGUUACAGCUUAGCUUUUAACGCAAUGCUCAGGUGACUCAGCUAGACUGGUAAAUAAAAAGUGUUUUAUAUGCAUUGUAUAUGCAAUAUAACACUGUGACACCAGAUGGUGCUGUGGAGUCCCAUCUUUCCCUACUGGAUUUCCCCGUAUGAGUUUACAAUGCAUUUAACUGAAUCACUUCUUGGACGUGUCUAGAUCCAGUCCUUUCUCUACCCCUCUCCCAUUUCCUUGACUCCCAUUCACCCAGCCCUCUCCUCCCAAGCCCCCUUCCCAACAUCCCAACCCUUAUCUCCUACUUCUGCAUUCCUUUAAGCCCUCCACUCCUUCCCUCCCCCCCUCCCCCCACCCCUCUUGCAAAAGAAGGGCUUCUGUUUUUCUAUCCCUCAUACUCUGCUAUGCUGUACUGUACUGUAGUGCACUAUACUAAAUCACACCAGUUGCUUAGUUCUGAAAAGCCUCUCCGCCUAACAGAGGGGAGGGGUUGUGAGUGGGAGCCGGUUCCUGCGUCUGCAGGGGGGGGGGCGUCUUUGGCCCCCUGUGUCAGCUUACCUGGCUGCCGUGCCACGCCCGUAGGGCUGACUUGGGGGCAGGGUUUAGCUGCAUUCAAGCAGCCGUGGCAGCCCCGUGCCCUCAUUGUGCGCCCAGAAAUCGAUUGAUCACCCGCCCGCCCUCCCUUAGGUAAUAUCUAUGCUUCUGACCUUGCUCUGGGCUUUGCUUGGUUGCCCUGGCUGCCCGUGGGGGCCUGGUAGGAAUUUGUACCCAUUUGGCAAAUUGACACCAGCCUCUUGGUUUUCCGCCUACCUCGUAGCAAUUCGUCACAACUUUUGAGUAUUGGCGGUUAGGCAUUGCAAUAUGUUUCGUGUGUUGGAGGUCAGGUUGUGGCCAUCACCUACCCCUCCCCUUUUUGGUAUUCCGUUAAAGGAAUCCGGUGGUCGUGGAUCCUGUCCGAUGCCCUGCUGGUGGCUAGGGCCAUGGCAGGACCCCCAGUGACAUCAGGGGAAGCUUCCAGUUGUAUUUGCAUCAACAGGCUCCUCCCACUGGCUGCUAACCUUCGAAUGACUCCCUGCCGAGCAGGGUGGAGUCACGUAUAGAUUGUUUGAUCCAAUGCCUAAGCCAAUACUGCUCACAUGCUGUAACCAAUAAAAUUGUGGCCUUCUUUAGCCCAUUAACCUAAAAUACAUGUGCCCCUGUGUCUUAUUUAUCUCUAGCUGGUGGCGGGUCCUCUACUCACAAUAAGGGGACCUCCCACAGAGGGAUUGUGCUUUCUCCAGUCAAAACCAAACAAAGUGUAAAGUGAAGUGGGCCACAGCCUAGCCCAUGGUGAAAACCAACAUCCUGGGUCAGGAUGUUGCCAGCACUCCAAACAUCACCGCUGGAGACCACACGCUUGUGGUGGGAGAUGAUUUUGUCUGGUUCAUCUACAUUUAAAUUUAAACAUAAAUAAUUCUCUUUGAACCCGGCUUCCACAUUCAUCAUAUUGUUGUUGUUUAGUCGUUUAGCCGUGUCCGACUCUUCGUGACCCCAUGGACCAGAGCACGUCAGGCACUCCUGUCUUCUUCAUCAUAUUACCAACACUUUAAAUUGUUUCCAUGUUAUAUUUCAUCAUUACAAUGUAAUGAUACAAUGUAAUGUGAGAGGGAAAAUGACUAUUACUCAUACUUAAUCGAAGCACAAGGGAUUCUAAUUAGGCAUUUCAGCUAUGCGAUGUUGAGUGCUUUCUGUUAGCCCUGUCCUAUCUUGUUUCUGCCCUGCUUUCCUUUUUUAAAAAUUCAAGCAACUCCAUGAACGAAGAACUUGUACAUUGACCACUAAUAAUGAACAAUAUGUUGUAGAUAUCAUUGCAAAUUUAUUGUGCUGUUUUUGUGAUGUACAAAUGACUUAGAAGACUAUUUAUCAUUUCUUAUUCCUAUGAUCCCUGUUUAUAAAUGGUCCUUGUUUAAAAGGUUUAUAUACAUUCAGGCUAUAUUUCAACAUAAUAUUCUUGAAUGAGGACAGUGAAAGGGUGGGGAGAUCUGACUUGAAGGACAAGUGGGAUAAUAACAGUGAACUCCCUCUUCCUACUGAUAUUACGCUCACCUGUUGCUGAUAUUUCAAUUGGACCAUUAGUAGAUGUCAUGUACACUCAGGCAUUCCACAAAUGUUUUUUUGGUUCCUCCGUCAAAAAAUGUGUUUGUCGUGACACUGCUGCUAUGUUUGAAUGACAUUCAUAUAUUGCAGUGAUAUUUUCAUGUCAAAAAUGCACACAUGCCUUCACACCCUUGACUUAUUGGCCUCCCCCAAAAUGGUAUUGAUGUUUAUUGGAAUAUUAAACCUUCCAAGUUGCUGAUUAUCACUUUCCUUAGCCUGAAAGUUGGUGUUUAUACUACAUUUUUAAAGAUUUGCCUUGAGAGAGUCUUUAAACCUCUUUUGUUGACCACCAACCUUCCGCUUUCCAUUUUUAAGUUUCUUUGGAAGACGAUAAUCAGGCAUCCACACAACAUGACCAGUCCAGCGAAGUUGAUGUUGAAGAAUGGUGAUCUUUGCUUCUUCAAGUACACUGGCAUUAGUUCGCCUGUCUUCCCAAGUGAUGUGUCAGAUUUUCUGGAGUCACUGUUGAUGGAAUCUUUCAAGGAGUUGGAGAUGGCGUUUAUAAGUGGUCUUGGAAAUGUAGCUAGCCAUAAUCUAAAUUGGUCAGUUGUUUGAAGGACUGCUGUCCUCAGGUAAACCAACACACUUGGGCAAGGAAGCCAACUCUCUUCCUAGUGGGGAACAGAAUGUUUUUCCUUAAGAUUCACUUAAUUGAUGUGUUUCCCUGGCUCAUAACAAGCCAGAAGGCAAAAUGCCUUUCAAUACAUUUCAGUGUUGUUCCUUCCAGUCUUACUCUUGAGGUAAACUUGAUUGGAUGCUUGAGAUUCUUCAUGGCUUCUGAUCUGCACCAACUUGAUCUGCACCUGCAAGACUAAGAGGUGAAUCCAAAUUCAAUCCCUCACUUUCUGAAAUUUUGAAAAUUGCAAGUUUUUCUUGUUUUGAGAGAAUAUGGCAUUUAAAAUAUCUGUUUAAAUGCAUUGUGUGUGCUUGAGUGGUGUGGAAUCUGGAGUUGGAGCAGUCAGCAAUAGUUUAGCAAAGGCAAAAGUCAAUGUUCCUGGUAUUUUAUAUCAGACCUGUUCAUUCCAAACAUUCUGUUCUGUCUCCCAGACACAAGGUGGUAACUGUGAUGUUGAAUAUACACCUGGGAAAGAGUGUUAGGUAAUCCUGGGCCUCUCGCUCCACUGGAUCUCAGCCUAAGAACCUAAUGCCUAGCCUUGACCUGGUACUGGACACAGAAUCCUCAGAGGAUGAACCAGACACCUCACAUUGACAAAGAUCAAUGACUUUGAGUAGCAUUCAGGAUCCCAUGAAACCAGUACCCAGAGCCCUCUAGGAAAAGGAAAAUGCUGAAGGGCCCUUGGAGAUGUCAGAGGAGGUACUGGAUCCAGCCGCAUACCCCAGUCUUUGAGAAUUCUGGAGCCAACAGGUCCAGACUGAAGACUGCCAACAUAGCACGUGUUUAUGAAUUCAGAAUUGACACACCUCAUGAGUAAGCAAUCUCUAAAGUGCCAUCUCUUACCAGCACUUGGUGCUAUGGUAUUGUGGGGCUCCUUAGGUAGAGGUAAAGGGACCCCUGACCAUUAGGUCCAGUCGCGGCCAACUCUGGGGUUGCGGUGCUCAUCUCGCUUUACUGGCUGAGGGAGCCAGUGUACAGCUUCCCCGUCAUGUGGCCAGCAUGACUAAGCCGCUUCUGAUGAACCAGAGCAGCGCAUGGAAAUGCCUUUUACCUUCUCACCAGAGCAGUACCUAUUUAUCUACUUGCACUUUGACGUGCUUUCAAACUGCUUGGUUGGCAGGAGCAGGGACCGAGCAAUGGGAGCUCACUCAGCUGUGGGGAUUCGAACUGCCGACCUGCUGAUCAGCAAGCCCUAGGCUCUGUGGUUUAACCCACAGCGCCACCCGAGUCCCGUGGGACUCCUUAGGGUUCAAUUUAAUCCUCCAUGCUGUCUAACAUCUUCAUGAAGCUCCUGAGUGGGGUUAUCUACUCCCCAUGUGAAAUAUCUCAAACCCUGCAAUCAUCAUCCGAGACCUUUCUCCAUGUGCCUCCUCUGUGAGAGGUCCAGAGAGCAACAAACUUGAGUACAGGCCUUUUCUGCGUUCGUUCCCUGCUUGUGGAAUGUUAUCCCUAGGGAUUCCCACAUGCUGUCCUUGUUGCAUUUCUUUAGGCGCCAGUUGAAAACAUCGCUCCUGACUCACUACACAAUCAAUGAUCUUUUAAACUUUGUGUUGGGGGGUAUUGUUUUUGCUUGUUAUUGUGGUACGAAUUUAUAUAUUUUUAUAUUGUAAAGUGCCCCGUGAUCUUCAGAUGAAGGGUGGCGUAGAAAAUUAAGUAUUUUUUAUUAAUAAUAGCAACUCUCUAGACUUAUUUAACUUACCGUAUAUGCAGAAUUCAUCAUGCGAAAGGCUGGGCCGGAUGAAUCCCUAGCCGGAGUUAAGAUUGCCGGAUGAAAUAUCAACAACCUGAGAUAUGCAGAUGACACAACCUUGAUGGCAGAAAGUGAGGAGGAAUUAAAGAACCUUUUAUUGAGGGUGAAAAAGGAGAGCGCAAAAUAUGGUCUGAAGCUCAACAUCAAAAAACCGAAGAUCAUGGCCACUGGUCCCAUCACCUCCUGGCAAAUAGAAGGGGAAGAAAUGGAGGCAGUGAGAGACUUUACUUUCUUGGGCUUCAUGAUCACUGCAGAUGGUGACCAAACUGCGGGAGGCAGUGGAAGACAGGAGUGCCUGGCGUGCUCUGGUCCAUGGGGUCAUGAAGAGUCAGACACGACUAAAUGACUAAACAACAACAAGACUUGGGAUUCCUCGCAACUAGUAUUCAGAGGCAUAUUGUCCCCAACUGUGCAGGCGGAGCAUAGCGAUUGUGACCAGGAGUCACGAGAAGUUAAUAGAGAAGGAAUGUAGCUUAGUUAGUGAGCAUGCCUAUUGGAAGCCCAAUGAUAGAUAUUAUGUCCAUAGUCUUGCUGACAGAUCUAUCCUCAUUCUCAAGUAACAAUUCUCUGUUUAUGGGCAUGCAGAGCUUUGUUUGAUGUUGUGACUAACUGAUCACAGGUCUCCUCUCACCUGAGCAUCCAGCAUACUCCUCUAAACCUGGAAAGAAGAAGUUCCUCAGUCUUCUUCCAGCUGCUGGAGUGUCAUUGGCCAAUUGCUUCUGGAUUCUGGGAUGUUCUAACUUCAACAUCAACAGGUGAGGUUCAACAUGCCCCACAUAAGCCUGUGGCUUCCUGGCAUCUCACCGCAGAGUACCUGAGUGGAACAUCCAAAUCCAAGAACAGUUUGGCCUGAAGCUGGAUGAGUCAUGCAUUCCAAACAUGAGAAGCCAGCACCAUUGUCUGGUUGCUGGGACAUUCCAUUCCCACUCCUGACAAGCCUCUAGCUGCCAAAUGAUGUACGGUACGUUUUUCAUCCACCGCUUGGUUGGUAGAGGUUGUUCCUCCUUUUGGCCACUAGAGGGAAAAGGAGACAAUGAAGUAAAGAAUCAUAAAAAGGUAAAGGGACCCCUGACUAUUAGGUCCAGUCGCAGACAACUCUGGAGUUGCGGCGCUCAUCUCGCUUUAUUGGCCAAGGGAGCCGGCGUACAGCUUCCGGGUCAUGUGGCCAGCAGGAGUAAGCCGCUUCUGGCAAACCAGAGCAGCACACGGAGAAGUAGUUCACCUUCCCGCUGGAGCGGUACCUAUUUAUCUACUUGCACUGUGUGCUUUCAAACUGCUAGGUUGGCAGGAGCAGGGGCCGAGCAAAGGGAGCUCACCCCGUUGUGGGGAUUCGAACCACCGACCUUCUGAUCGGCAAGUCCUAGGCUCUGUGGUUUAACCCACAGCGCCACCCACGUCCCAAAGAAUCAUAGAAUUGUAGAAUUGGAAGGGACCCCAUGGGUCAUUUAUUCAAUUUGUAUUGAAUUGGAUAGUAGAAGAUCACAGGACAGUUCACAAUGUAAAAUGGCACAAGAAGAGCUCUGCUGGAUAUGAUAAUGAUCAUCAUCAUCAUCAUCAUCAUCAUCAUUAUUUAUACCUAAAGGUCAGGGGUACCUUUACCUUUAACUAUGGAAAUAGAACAGAUGGACAAUGGUAAAAGAUGCAGCAAAUUUAAUCUUAAAUAUGGAGCCCAUGGAGGGAAGGAAGGAGGUCUGAAGGUACAAAAGAACCUUUUAUUUUAAUGUUUGAAAUUGUUAAAGUUCAAAUGUAAAAAAAAAUGUAAAAAAGUAAUAAUUUUUAAACCCCCCUCCAAAAAGAGUGCUCAUUAAUGGUUCCAUCUUGCUCUGGUGACAGGGACAGCCUAACUACUGUUGCCUAUGCUCUGGUAACAUCAAGGUUAGAUUACUGCAAUGUGUUAUAUGUAGGGCUACCUCUGAAGAUGGUUCAGAAACUUCAGCUGGUGCAGAAUUCAGCGGCCAGGUUGCUCACUGGAGCAAGAUGGUUUGAACCUAUUGCACCGAUCCCGGUCCGACUGCACUGGCUACCACUUAGUUUCCAGACCCAAUUCAAAGUGCUGGUUUUGAUCUAUAAAGCCUUAAAUAGCUCAGGACUGCAAUACCUCAAGGACCGCCUCUUUCCAUAUGAACCUACCUGGACCCUGAGAUCAUCUUCUGAGGCCUUUUUCGUGUGCCUCCUCCUCCAGAGGUCCGGAGGGUGGCAGUUCAAGAACGGGGCCUUCUCGGCAGUGGCUCCCCGUCUGUGGAUUGCUCUCUGCAGAGAAGUUUGCCUGGCCCCUUCAUUACACACCUUUAGGCACCAGGCAAAAACGUUCCUUUUUAACCAGGCCUUCGGUUGAUCUGAUUUACAUCUUAUGCCCUUUUAAAAUGCUGGGGGGGGGGGGGGGUUGCCAGCGGGGUUAUUGGGUUGAUGUUUUUAUUUUGAUUAUGUAUUUUGUGAUUUUAUAUUUUGAUUUUAUUCUGUGAACUGCCCUGAGACCUUUGGGUUUAGAGUGGUAGGUAGGUAGGUAGGUAGGUAGGUAAGUAAAUAAAUAGCAGGGUGUUUGACUAGAUAACCCUCAGGGUCCCUUCCAACUCUACAAUUCUAUUUUAUGAUUCUUCCCACCUGUGAUUCCUAGAAACUAGGAUUCAGAGGCAUACAGUGGAGGCAGAACAUAGUCCUUGUGACCAGUAGCCACUGAUUGUCUUCUCCUUCAUGAGAAGUUAAUAAGGAAGGAAUAUAGCUUAGCUGGUGCGCAUGCAUUUUUCAUGCAGAAGGUCCAUAGUUCAAUCCCUAGAAUCACCAGGUAGGACUGGGAAUUUUGCUUGCCUGAAACCAUGGAGACAGACAGACAGAAAAUGAAUAUACAGUGGUACCUCGAUUCACGAACUUAAUCCGUUCCGGAAGACCGUUCUUAAACUGAAACCAUUCUUAAACCAAGGCGUGCUUUCCCUAAUGAGGCCUCCCACCGCCGGUGCCCUUCCACCAUUCGGAUUUUGUAGUUAGACCAAGGUAAAAUUCCCAAACCAAGACACAACUUCCAGUUUUGUGGAGUUUGUAAACCAAAUUGUUCUUAAACCGGACUGUUCUUAAACCGAGGUACCACUGUAGAGAAAUCUGAACUAGAUGGACCAAUGGCCUGACUCUGUGUAAGGCAGUUUCCUCUGUUCCUAUGCUUAUCUGAACCUAUUUAACUAACGUGGCUAAUAGCCUUUCACAGCUGGAAGAAAGAGGAUGAGGACAGAAGAAUAGCCCUGCAGAUGCAUCAGGCCAGUGGCCCAUCUAGUCCAGGAUCCUAAAGAUCUAACCUCACAGGGGCCCAUCAGAUUCCCUAGGAAAUCUGCAAGCAGGAUCUGACUCUCCCCACAGGGAAUGUUGUAGGUUUUUUAAAGGGGCAGUGAAAUAAUAUAAGCUAUGUAGUCUUUAAAUCAUGGUAAUCAUGAUUGUGCUAUCCCUAGGGAGGCUUGCCUGGUGCCCUCACUAAACAUCUUUAGAUGCUAGGCAAAAACAUUUCUCUUCUUCCAGGCCUUUGGCUAAUUAAAUGAUCUAUGGCCUUUCAAACCGUGUUUGGUGGGUUAUUGUUUUAGUUUGUUAUUACAGUGUGUUUUUAUAUUGUAAAGUACCCUGUGAGUGAAUGAGACCCUGCCUUACCAACCUCAGUCUCUGUAGUCUCCCACAUGUCUGCCUACAAGUCCAGGGGGUUGUCCUGCUUAUCAGCUUCCUCAUCCUUAGCCAUCAGUGCCAUCUUUGUAGGACACAACAAGGAAGAGAAUGAGGACCAAACUAGCACGAUCUUUUAUAUGCGGUGAACUUGUAAAAGGGUAAAAGAGUAUUUGGAAAUGAUCCAUAAUGAACUGAAGAAAAAAAAAUGUUUACAGUCAUACCUUGGGUUGAAGUUGCUUCAGGUUGAGCGCUUUCGGGUUGCGCUCCGUGGCAACCUGGAAGUAACAGAACACGUUACUUCCAGUUUUGCCGCUCGCGCAUGCGCAGACAGUCAAAAUGAUGUCACACGCAUGCGCAGAAGUGGCGAAUCGUGACCUGCGCAGACGUGGGUUGCGUUCGCUUCAGGAUGCAAACAGGGCUCCAGAACGGAUCCAGUUCGUAUCCAGAGGUACCACUGUAAAAGUACUUUCCCCCUAAAACCCGGAGUCCUUUCUGUCGGGAAUAAUUCAGACUGAAAUUCCCAGGUGUCAAAAAGGGUUAUUUUUGGGCUUGCCUCUUGGGCUUGCCACUAGGAAAGUCAGCAGUUCGAAUCCCCAUGAUGGGGUGAGCUCCUGUUGUUUGGUCCCAGCUCCUGCCAACCUAGCAGUUUGAAAGCACGCCAAAAAGUGGAAGUAGAUAAAUAGGUACCACUCCGGGGGAAGGUAAACGGUGUUUCUGUGCACUGCUCUGUUUUCGCCAGAAGCUGCUUAGUCAUGAUGGCCACAUGACCCGGAAAAACUGUCUGCAGACAAACGCCGGGUCCCUCGGCCAGUAAAAUGAGAUGAGUGCUGCAAACCCACAGUCGUUCGCAACUGGACUUAACUGUCAGGGGUCCUUUACCUUUACCUUUACCUUACUGCGGCCUAUGUUUUGCUAGCCCCAAAAUGGAAAACAAGCGAGGUCCCAACCAAAGAAGAAUGGCAACUUGUUGAAAGAAUAUGCGCAGCUUGCUGACUUAACAUAUAUAAUAAAAGAACAAGAAGAACAUACAUUUAGAGGAGACUGGAAAACGUUUAUUAAAUAUAUGGGAAAUAAUUGUGUAUAGCUGAAAACAUUGGCAGCAUUAAGAUGAAUUCAACAGUGUAAAUAAGUUUUGAUGGAUGCAAUAAGCGCAUACUGAAUGGUAUUGUUUUUGUAAAAUAUGCAGGGUUGUAUGACCUGUAAAAUGAACCAUGGAAAGAGAAGAAGGGAAGUCAUUGAUAUUUUAGGGAUGUAAAAAUGAGUAUUUAAAAUUAUAUAUAGAGAGAGAGAGAGAGAGAGAGAGAGAGAGAGAGAGAGAGAGAGAGAGAGAGAGGUGCGGGGGGAACCAAACUGACCAAACUGACUCUUCCUAACUGACUCUGACACAGUCUACUGGAGGAUUCCCAACCUUCUGCCCUACCAGUCCCAUUGGGGACCAAUAACCACUGCUGUCCAGGUUUGAUGGGAGUUCCCUAUAGUGAAAGCCGCUCCACUGACCUUUAACAUCCAGGUGUAUUCCUUUAUCACAUGUUGUGUUAUUGAGUGAUGGACAUUCUUGUGUGGAAUAGAUUGAAACUGCCUGAGUUGUGUGUGUACCUUAGCUGUACUUCCUGAGUUUGUAACUGGAUCGAAGAAUGGUUCCUUCAAAUCCAUCAGGAUUGGUUCCAAACUUUUCAAUUUUAUACAGCUUAGGAACCACCUAAAACACCCCACCUUUCCCCAUGUGCAGCUGCCCAGAUACUGAGAUCAUCAAUUGACGUCCUCCUUUUCCUGCCACCUCCGAGAGAAGUCCAUAAGCAGGUAUGAGGAACUGGAUCUUCUCUGUGGUAGUCCUCCAUUUAUGGAUUUCUUUCACUAUAGAUUCCAACUUGGCUGCUCUUUGUCUUCCUUUUUGUACCAAGUAAAGAUUUGUUUUUGGGGUUUUUUUUUAGAAGAUUGGCAGCUGAAAUUGAUGGAAUUUUUCAGAAUUGGCAAGUUUAACAAGUAGAAUUAGAGAUAAGGAUGAGGCAGACUUUAAGGAGUUGUGGGGAAUGUUCAUAGAUUGUUUCUUUUUUAAAAAAAACCUACUGUGAUCUUGUUAAAACACAAGUAUGCUUUGAAUAAGAACAGCAGGAGAUCUUAUCUGAGAAAAUUGUGUUGAAGAUAAGGUGUAGAAUAACUAUAAUAUGCAGCAACAUUUGAAAAUUUGGGAGAACCAUGGAGGUGUGAUGAAUUAUGACAAUGGCAAUGGGGUGAUGGAAGAAGACACUGCAGAUGUGUUGAUUCUGAAAUAAGUUUUAUUCUCUCCCAUGCAUUAUGGGAAAUUGAAGCAAGGAAAUCAGCAGGGGUAGGUGGAUGAGGGAACUCCCAUCCACCGCAAACACACACAGCCGUUCAUAAGUUACAUUGAAGAAUGAGCCACACAUUGAACAUGCAAGCAUAAAAUGCCAUUGAAGAAUGAAAGGGCAAAGAAAGCAACAUGCAGAAGUGUCCUGGGUUUAACAUGUCGUUGUCAGGAUGCUGAUGCGAGGUAGCAAAGUUCGCUUUUCUUGGGUUGCUUGGCAAAUGUUGCAGUUUACUUGAUGCUUGGCAAUGGACAGACCUGCUUCGUUUGCCCAAUGCAUGGAGGGACGACAAUGGGGCACUUGGUCUGUGAGUAUCCACCACCAGAUCCACCGCUGCUGCAACAGACAGCUCCGCCACUGCCGCUGCUGCAGCACACAGCUCCGCCACUGCCGCCACCACUGCUUCCACCAGGCACAACAAUGGUUUUCCCACUGCCGCCACUGUAUCCUCCUCCACCGUAUCCUCCUCCAAUCACCUUAACCCCACCCGAGCUUCCACCACCGGAUGAGCUACAACAAACGGCGCCACCGGAGCCGGACGAGCUGCAACAUACUGCACCACCACGGCCGCCGCUA
rnacentral:lncRNA from 1 species